rnacentral:rRNA from 1 species
ACGAACGCUGGCGGCGUGCCUAAUACAUGCAAGUAGAACGCUGAAGACUUUAGCUUGCUAGAGUUGGAAGAGUUGCGAACGGGUGAGUAACGCGUAGGUAACCUGCCUAUUAGUGGGGGAUAACUAUUGGAAACGAUAGCUAAUACCGCAUAAUAGUGUUUAACACAUGUUAGAGACUUAAAAGAUGCAAUUGCAUCACUAGUAGAUGGACCUGCGUUGUAUUAGCUAGUUGGUAGGGUAACGGCCUACCAAGGCGACGAUACAUAGCCGACCUGAGAGGGUGAUCGGCCACACUGGGACUGAGACACGGCCCAGACUCCUACGGGAGGCAGCAGUAGGGAAUCUUCGGCAAUGGGGGCAACCCUGACCGAGCAACGCCGCGUGAGUGAAGAAGGUUUUCGGAUCGUAAAGCUCUGUUGUAAGAGAAGAACGUGUGUGAGAGNGAAAA